GAACGCUGGCGGCGUGCUUAACACAUGCAAGUCGAACGAGAAUCUAGCGGAAAGAGGAUUCGUCCAAUUGAAGCAGAGGACAGUGGCGGACGGGUGAGUAACGCGUGAGGAACCUGCCUUUCAGAGGGGGACAACAGUUGGAAACGACUGCUAAUACCGCAUGACACAUUGAGGUCGCAUGGCCUUAAUGUCAAAGAUUUAUCACUGUGAGAUGGACCCGCGUCUGAUUAGCCAGUUGGCAGGGUAACGGCCUCCAAAGCGACGAUCAGUAGCCGACCUGAGAGGGUGACCGGCCACAUUGGGACUGAGGACACGGCCCAAACUCCUACGGGAGGCAGCAGUGGGGGAUAUUGCACAAUGGAGGAAACUCUGAUGCAGCGACGCCGCGUGAGUGAAGAAGUAUUUCGGUAUGUAAAGCCCUAUCAGCAGGGAAGAUAAUGACAGUACCUGACCAAGAAGCCCCGGCUAACUACGUG
rnacentral:rRNA from 1 species